rnacentral:rRNA from 1 species
GGGCUAAACUUGUGCGGGGAAGAAGAAACUGAUCUUGACUUCUCCAAAGAGCUUGAGGAUCUAAUGAGGGAGGUCAGAUGGCUGGCAAUUUUCAAGGUUCAUACAACUCGAACGUUCAGUCACUCGGGGCUUUUUAACUCGAUGCGCAAUGCAUGGUCACUAGCUCAACAGAUUCAAUUCAAGCCGAAGGGGGCAAACCUUGUUAUAGUGCAGUUCAGGUGCCUUGGGGACUGGAAAAGAGUGAUGGAUGGUGGCCCGUGGCUUUUUCACAACGCCGCUAUCGUGAUUCAAGAAUACGAUGGCUUUAGCAAUGUUAAUGAUUACAAACUUGACAAAAUCCCGGUGUGGGUAAGAAUUCAGGGGGUGCCAGAGGGCUUGAUGAAGAAGAAGGAACUAGCAGAGAAGGUAGCUCGGAAGGUAGGGGAGCCGCCCAUUACAGUGGUUGUUAACGAGGGAUUUAUUAAUUCCUCUAAGUUCCUCAGAGCUAGUCUUUUUGGACGUUCAGAUUCCUUUAGUCAGAUUUGUUCCAAUUACUCUCAGGGAACGGAUAAAGAACCCGGUGUAUUACGAGAAACUUCCAGACUUUGUUAUUUCUGUGGCCGAAUGGGGCAUGUUGUUGAGGAAUGUGGAGAUGGGGUUCAUGACCCAGCAAAGUGUGAAUGGGGAGAAUAUCUCCUAUGGAAUUUCACUGGACCGGCUGGGGGACAGAAUCAAGGAAGGGGAGGGGGAAGAAGUGGUGCUGAAAGGGGAGGGGGACGUGCAGAUGGAGGAAGAGGAGGAUGGGGCAGAGGAAGCGGAGCAAGAGUCUCGGAUGGAGCUGACCGGGGGGGCUAG